rnacentral:lncRNA from 1 species
CCUUGAUUGAUGAAGUUUGAAAUGUCUCCAAGACAGCGGGGAAGGAAGUCAGACACUCGGCGAGCGACGGCUGGCUGUUUAUAAACCCAAUCUCCCUCUCAAAUUCAAAAUUCAUGGCUUUCAAUGGACUCCAGCGAAAUUACAGGGAAUUCGUGGUCACGGGACCGGCCUCCGCCAAUCGCUCGUCUGGGCCUGGUGGAAAACAGAGAGCAUUAUUUGGUUUAAUUGAUUCAAAAACACCAGAGGACCACGACCAGGACACCAUGAGCCCCCAUUCCUACACCAGUGCCUCACAUGCUCUCUCCCCAAUGCCUCCGUUUCUCCAGAAAAGCUAGAGGAACCUUUUCCUCAUCCCCUUCGAAGGAAAAGAUGAGUGAGGAUCUCCGCGUUGGAGGAAGAGGGAGUCGAAAGAGGCUUCCACUCUUUGAAAAAGACCCAAUGGUGGUUGGGCUUCGGGUCACGUGACACCUUCUUUGUGGCUCCGGAAGAGGAUUGUGAAGUUUAGGUUUCGUGGAAGAAACCGAUAAUUGAGGAAAAAAAAAAAUCAAGAUUUGGGGGGAAUUACCUACAAAGAUGUAAGGUGUGUUAAUUUGGGCGCUUCUUGGAUUCUACCCUGAGGAGGAGGCGCGUGGUGAGAGGAGAGAUCUUGAUCUGCCGCUCGCUGAGGUUCAGCAGGUUGGCCAUCUCUACACGGCGAGGCCGGCACAGGUAGCGGUUAAAAUGGAACUCCUUCUCCAGCUCCACCAGCUGCGCGCUCGUGUACGCCGUCCGCGCCCGCUUGGACGCCGCCGACCCCGGGGGGCUCUUGUCCCCUCCCCCGCCGCCGCCGCCACCGCCCCCGCUGCCACCACUGCCUCCGCCGCCGCCGCCACCGCCGCCGCCACCACAGCCCUCUGCUGGAUCCGAGGGGGAGGGGUGGGAAGGGGAGAAAAUGA